UACGUAGGGUGCAAGCGUUAAUCGGAAUUACUGGGCGUAAAGCGUGCGCAGGCGGUUUUGUAAGUUUGUCGUGAAAGCCCCGGGCUCAACCUGGGAAUUGCGAUGAAGACUGCAAGGCUUGAAUCUGGCAGAGGGGGGUAGAAUUCCACGUGUAGCAGUGAAAUGCGUAGAGAUGUGGAGGAACACCGAUGGCGAAGGCAGCCCCCUGGGCUAACACUGACGCUCAUGCACGAAAGCGUGGGGAGCAAACAGG
rnacentral:rRNA from 1 species